AUUGAACGCUGGCGGCAUGCCUUACACAUGCAAGUCGAACGGUAACAGGUCUUCGGAUGCUGACGAGUGGCGAACGGGUGAGUAAUACAUCGGAACGUGCCUAGUAGUGGGGGAUAACUACUCGAAAGAGUGGCUAAUACCGCAUGAGAUCUACGGAUGAAAGCAGGGGAUCGCAAGACCUUGUGCUACUAGAGCGGCCGAUGGCAGAUUAGGUAGUUGGUGGGAUAAAAGCUUACCAAGCCGACGACCUGUAGCUGGUCUGAGAGGACGAUCAGCCACACUGGGACUGAGACACGGCCCAGACUCCUACGGGAGGCAGCAGUGGGGAAUUUUGGACAAUGGGCGCAAGCCUGAUCCAGCAAUGCCGCGUGCAGGAUGAAGGCCUUCGGGUUGUAAACUGCUUUUGUACGGAACGAAAAGCCCUGGGUUAAUACCCUGGGGUCAUGACGGUACCCAAAGAAUAAGCACCGGCUAACUUCGUGCCAGCCGCCGCGGUAA
rnacentral:rRNA from 1 species